UACGUAGGGGGCAAGCGUUGUCCGGAUUUAUUGGGCGUAAAGAGCGUGUAGGCGGCCAUACAGGUCAGCUGUGAAAACUCGAGGCUCAACCUCGAGACGUCGGUUGAAACCGUAUGGCUAGAGUCCGGAAGAGGAGAGUGGAAUUCCCGGUGUAGCGGUGAAAUGCGCAGAUAUCGGGAAGAACACCCGUGGCGAAGGCGGCUCUCUGGGACGGUACUGACGCUGAGAGACGAAAGCUAGGGGAGCGAAUGGG
rnacentral:rRNA from 1 species